ensembl:lncRNA
CGGGAAAUAGUGCUACCAGCUCCAAGUCUGGACCAGCUCCGACUCUUCCCGAGGACAAGAUUGUCACUGUGAGGAACUUCACCUCCUGACCAAAGAGCAAGGACUCAGGCCAUUGGCAGUCCAACUUUCUGAUUACAUUCCCUAUGUACCAAGAUAGCAUCCGGAUGUGGGAUCAAGCUGACAGCUUCCACCUUCAAGGCGUGUGUGAGCAGUCUGAGAAGUUCAACUUUAAAACCACCAAUACAGACUGAAGAGAGACGUUAGAGGGGGCACUCCCCAAGGCAAAUGAGGGCCCUGAGGGCCUCCGCUCCUCAGAACGCGACACUGGCUUUGAGACCUGGUUUCAGCUACAGUUCUGACCACCACCACCAUGGUGGCCACAAUCCGACCUCCCUUCCUGCCUUCUUCAAGGAACUAGAAAAAGGAAUUAAGUGACGUGGCCAGAAACUCUAGGAUUCUUAGGCUCAGAAGCCCCCAGAUAGGGAGAAAAGACCCACCCCCACACAAAUCUGUCACACAGUCAGACCAGAGGAAGCAUGAGAGCUCACUGAAGAAGGUGUGGGGACUGCUUUGGUUGGGCACCCCUGUAAAAAGCCCCAGCAGAGCCCAGCGUCGGAACAGGCUUAGCUUGAGAACUGGGGCCUGGAGGUCCGGCACGACAGAUGACUAGCUCUGGUCCAUCGUUUCGGCGGUGAAGAGGUAGGGACGCCGGCCGGGAGGGAGGGUUUCAAACUACACCGGGCCGGGUGCAGCUCCACUGGGUCGCGGGAACCCUGCCUUCCAGGCCAGUCUCCCAACAUCCCGGCGCAGAGGGCCUCGUCGCCAACCGGUGAGGCAGGAGCAGCCAGGCCCAGCCGAUUGGAAAGACAGACAGACACGGGGCAAAGACGCAGGCCCGCGUCGCCCUCCGCGCAGCAGCACUGCCCUAAGACCCCCGCGUCCGGGGGCGCAGGCCGAAUGGCGUGGACGGCGAAGCCCGGGCCUGCGCGACGCCCCCACAUUUCCCGUCCCCGAGUGCCGUACCUGCUCCUCCGCAGCCGUCGCUCGAUGGCGCCGGGGCCGCGCUCUGCGUUGCGCUCCGGCCCGCGCGGCUGCCAUGGAGACGGGCCUUUGUGUGGCCGAGGAGGGGCCGGAGCGCGCGGGAGCUGCCGGCCCCGCCCCCGCCAGGGGAGAAGGAGGGCGGGGAGGACCGGGGCGGGCAAGAGGGAGGGACGAGACGAAGGGGUAGAGGGUGGGAAGGAGGGGCGGCUGGCGUCCCUAGCGUACCCCGUGUUUCCUAAGCACACCGCUUUGCUUGGAGGUUCGCGCCCUGUAGCAAUCCGCGCUCCCUGCCGGCUGCAGUCCUGUCUCCCGUCCCCCCCGACCCCACGCCCCGCACCUCCCUCUGCCCCGUCAUCGGUGGAGUUCGCUCAGGCUGGGCACCACCCCGGGAGUGCCCCAGGCCGAACUGAAUGGCGCACGCGGCCCGGCACCAGUGGGUGGCUUCGGCUGGGCCAGACCCAGGCCUCAAGUGUCCUCUUUGAGAUGGGCGGGGCGCAGGGAACCGCACCACUAGAUUGGCAACAGGCGGACCACGCGCUCAUCCCUUUCCCGAGGGCAUCUCCUCCCCAGCUUUGGGAAUCUGCCUCAAUUCUAUGCCCUCCCCAACUUGAAAACUUCACAAAUCUGAGGACUUCACUGUUUAAGGAAGUUGAACUUGCCCCAUCUCUAAGCAGCCAAGCUUGAAUGAAUCACCUUCUCCCCUCCACCAGCAACACUUCCCCACCCACCCACACACAUACAAGGGACUCCAAAAUAUCCAGUGAUUUCAACACUACCCCCCAACACACACACACACACACAACUCCAAAAUAUUCAGUAACAGGGGCUGCAAACUUUGUAUCAAAAAUAUUAAAAGACAAGUAUUGUAUAACAAAGAUAUUUUAAUAACAAAGUUGUGGGAAGGCCAGUAUUCUGAAAUGAGUAGGGCUCAAAAUAGAAGGCAGGAAGCUGGAGGGUAAAAGAGUCCUCCUAUCCUUCCGGUCUGUCCCAGGGGCUGGCUGCCUCAUGACCUCCACCCAACCCUCCUAGAUCCCCUGAAUGCUGGCUCACUGCUCUCUCCAACUUGCCACACAAGGGAGCUCUGGGGAUCACAGCCUCCAGGAUUAGUUUUUCACUAUCCAGGCAUCUAAACUGUAAGGGCCCUUUGGGUUGGGGGAGGGGAGCACCUUUUUGGAGCCAUCUGUCUCUUCUUCCCUCCAGGCUCUCUGCCCUUGGCAGGGAUGGGAAGAGAUGGGCUUAAGCCUACUUUGGACAGAAGCUCCGCUAACUCCGCUGAGCCCAUCCUGGGAGUGCAGGAGUGGGAAAGGAUAUAGCUGGUAGAAGACCCCAGGCCGUACACUCUACCAAGUAACCUGGACAAGCCCCUCAAGGACACUGGAACUUUCCUCAUUCCUACGUAUCAGCCUUGGGUUCAUGUUCUAGGCAGCACUGUUAUACAUAGCCUUCUCCCCUCCUCUGCCCCAAAUCUGUCUGCUGAUUCCCAUGUCCAGAGGAUGACCAACUAACUGUCACGGCAGAAGCUGGUUAUGGUGGCCGAGGUCCAUGAGGGCCACCCUGAAGGUUAUUGUGUGACAGUUUUCAGAAAGUCAAGUGGAGACCACAAGAAACACAUUGCAGUGGUAUUUGAGAUGUGCAUUUUAGGAUGGAGCCGCUGAGGGGCUGGGGAUUUAGCUCAGUGGUAGAGCGCUUGCCUAGGAAGCACAAGGCCCUGGGUUCGGUCCCCAGCUCCGAAAAAAAGACCAAAAAAAAAAAAAAAAAAAAAAAAAGAAUUCUUAACAGUAG